AUGUAUGACCAUAUCCAGUGGAGAGCACGAUAUCCCAUCCGCUCUGCCCUUGUUAAGCCACUGAGGGCCUGGUCAGUAAUCGGGUCGGUGAUGACCAGUGAAUCCCCGGUGCUGUAUGUU
rnacentral:rRNA from 1 species